rnacentral:lncRNA from 1 species
AGAUGGGAUGAGACUUUUAUGGUGAUGGAUAAUUACAGCUGUCUUUCAUUGACGGCUUGCUAGGAGCAAGCACCAUACCAAAAGCUUUAAACGGAUUUUAAAAUUCUCCCAGCAGGCCCUUGUGGGGAGAUUUUUACAAAUGCAGAAUCUGAGAGCUAUUAAAUGGCUGAGCCGGGGUAUCCAAGCCAGGCUGUGUACCACUCUGCCAAUGAUUACCAACUUCCAGUCAUUCUUAGGCCACCUUGAGAGGUUUGCCCAAUCUCAGUACCAUCCAAAUAGUACUUUCUUAAGAUUUUUCCUAAAUCAACUCACUUUUCAUACAUGUUACUUGUCCUUAGCAUUUUGGGCCAUAAAAUUUUGGGGUUUAUUGCACUAGUUAUAGGUUUUUUCUAACAGCUGAUCAAAUAAAUAGAUAGCCAUGAAAAAAAGAAGUUUUCCCGUGUAUCUUCUGCAAUAAUUUCAUUUUAUUACCCGUGUUACAUGUACCACACUUGGGGAAACCUUGUACCAUGUAAUGCUAUUUUCAGGUUUUUCUUUUUUGUGCCAUCAUAUAUUCUCUGGAUACAUGCUUAUUACAGAUGUCCACAUCCUUACAAAGAAAGUAGACAUAUAAAAUCAGGUGUACAUUUCAAUUCACCGUGAAGACAUACAAGCUCAUCUUACACAAACUGAAUACAAUAGGAAACAUGCUUCUAGAGGUAAUCCUAACAAAUAUAAGCUUCACAAUUAAAAUUACCAGCUGUCUGAAGACACCAGAAUAUGCCCUCAGCAGCAAAGUCUUGCCAUAUAGGAUAUUUUAUCAUUCAAUUGUUAUGGCUUUCUUUAAAAGGUAACUUAAAAAAUAACAUGAGAAAAGGAUUAUGUUUCACCAUUUGGAUAAAUUGAUAAAGUAUGUCAUUUAAUUAAACUAGCUCAUUUUAUUAUUAUUACUAUUAUUAUUAUUAUUAACAUUGUGAAAAGUCAACAGAAUAUAUUGUUUCAAUGGAUAUUUAGGGGUUUUAUUCAUUUUGAGUAAUCAGACACUCAAAUAUAACUUACAGAGCAAUAUAUCUAAUCAGAAGAAGAAAUUUCCAUAAGAGGAACUAUUAUUUGCCUGCUUGUAAUCAAUCAGUUUUUUACUUCACAGCCCAUGUGGAAAGAUUAGUUAAAAAAAUCAUAAUAGUAUAUAAAGUUGCUCUUUCAGAAAAUUAAUU